CUUGAAGACAGCCAUACUAGUGAAGGUUUCAGUCAUGUACUGUGUCGUAGAAUUCCCUGAGGAGCAGGUUUUUGCCAUUGUUCCCCAGGAGAUGAGUCUACCAAGCCCUGGUUUGACCAGCAACAGCGUGACAGUUCCCCAUCAGUUUCAUCCACUGGUUUCCCCCAGCAACAGCCAGCGCCCCUAUGCCCAUGAUUUUCCAGCUGAAG